CCCUCGGUAGCUCAGUUGGAAGAGCGUGGGACUGUAAUUGCUUACAUAAUCACAACCAUCCCGAGGCCACUGGUUCGAUCCCGGUCUGAGGGA